GGUCUGCAGGACAGGGGUCCCAAGUGCAAGCAGCAGCCAUGCGCUCUGGGCCCUCGGCCCCACUCCGCCUCUUCCUCAGGGUGCUCGGGGCCUUCCUGCUCCUGGCCCCCUCCCUGCAGGCUCAGCAUACAAGGUGGGACAGCCCCGCCUGCACGGAGGGCGUGGUGUCCGUGUCCAGGGGCGGCCGGGCCGUGAUGGCCUGCAACAGCUCCAACGCCUUCACCCACAUCGAGAUCUGGCUGAGUGCCCACGGCCAGCCCAGGCUCAUCUUCAGAGAGGACACCCCGGGAAGCUUCUCCCGGGAAGGGUGGCAGCUGUGGGUUCGAGGGGGCCGGGCUGAGCUGGUCAUCCAGGCUGCCCAGGGCGCCCACGCAGGGCAGUACCGCUGGCAUCUUCGGGGACUGCAGAGAUAUGACAGAGUCACUGUGCUGACUGUCUCAGAGCCCCAGGGCCCGGAGGAGGAGCCAGGUCCAGUGCUGACCGUGUCUCCCCUGAGUGUUUCGCCCCUGCCGCCAGGCCUAUUGUCGCGAGUGAGCUAUGCCAGUGACGUAGACUGGAUGUGUUCGUGUCUUUCCAGCCCCAGCAGAAGCUGUGGAGUGGCUGAUGUCCCAAAGUCAGCUUUCAUUAUGGAAAAUUUCAGACAUCAGCACGGAUAGACAGAAGAGAACAAUAAACCAGAUUCACCCAUCACCUAGUUCCAGCUGCUAUCGAAAAGGGGCCUCUUCUGCCUGCUUCCUUCUUGCCCUUCCAGUGGGCUCGAUCAGAAAUUUUAUGACCUCCUCCUGGCACAUUCCUGGCUCUCACCCCACUUCCUGAAAUGUAGGGAGCACACCCUGGUUUCCUGGCCUCGCGUGCAGCGCGGAUGUGUGGGCGAUGCGUGUCCCUUUAUCCUUCCUGGGGUUCCUGAUUACAGAUAGCUCUCACAACUGGGCAGCUUUUAUGCAUCAGCAUCUCCUCCCCUCCCCACCGUGGAGAGGAGAAUUGACAGGUGAGCUGAAUGAUCUGCACACAGGACAGGUGGUGCUGAAAUCAGCCACCCUUUCCUAGUCAUCUGGGGCUGAGGCAUGAGCUCCCCCUCCCCCUGCAGGCCAGGUGUCCCAGGGCUGGACAUCUGGAGCCCAGCAUUUCCCCGGAAGCAAGGGACCAUGUGUGUGCACCAGGCUGCACCUGUCCUCAGAAGGCCCCACAAGGACACAAAGACACUUUUCCAUGUGACGUGCUGUUUUCACAAAGAGAAGGUAUUCUGGAGUUGGUUCUUAUGCAGUGCCACAAUGACCCUGGGCUCAGCAUGACACAACCAUGGUGCCGGGCCUGCUGGCUGCACCUCUAGCCUUCUUGGAUCUCCACCACCACGGAACACACGGUUUUCAGACCUGGACAGGCCACUCGGAAGCUCUGCAGGAUGAAGCAGCCCAGUGUGGGGCUGUUGGGGCCUCUGGACUCUGACCUGCCCUUGUCAGGCCGCAGGCUCAGCACAGCCCAGCUGGAGCCCAGGCAGGCGCGGCUUCUGUUCCUGUAGAUGCCGGCUCCGGGGACUCCAGCUCUCACCAAGGUCACUUGCCCUGCCAGCAGGGCAUUUGUGGAGGCCUCUGUGCCCAGACACUGGUCUACUGGUCUGUUUGGGGGAGGAGCUCAUUUGUCACAGCAGGAAGUGAAGCAGCCGUGGCCAUGGCUGAGGCCCUGGUGAUGGUGCUGUGCCCGGGACCCAUGUUAGCCCUGGCUGGCCUGACCCCCCUGAGCUGCCCCGAGUGACACCCUCCCGGCCCCUGGCUCGGCCCCCUCCGAGAAGGUAUUCUGGAGUUGGUUCUUAUGCAGUGCCACAAUGACCCUGGGCUCAGCAUGACACAACCAUGGUGCCGGGCCUGCUGGCUGCACCUCUAGCCUUCUUGGAUCUCCACCACCACGGAACACACGGUUUUCAGACCUGGACAGGCCACUCGGAAGCUCUGCAGGAUGAAGCAGCCCAGUGUGGGGCUGUUGGGGCCUCUGGACUCUGACCUGCCCUUGUCAGGCCGCAGGCUCAGCACAGCCCAGCUGGAGCCCAGGCAGGCGCGGCUUCUGUUCCUGUAGAUGCCGGCUCCGGGGACUCCAGCUCUCACCAAGGUCACUUGCCCUGCCAGCAGGGCAUUUGUGGAGGCCUCUGUGCCCAGACACUGGUCUACUGGUCUGUUUGGGGGAGGAGCUCAUUUGUCACAGCAGGAAGUGAAGCAGCCGUGGCCAUGGCUGAGGCCCUGGUGAUGGUGCUGUGCCCGGGACCCAUGUUAGCCCUGGCUGGCCUGACCCCCCUGAGCUCUGCCCCGAGACACCCUCCCGGCCCCUGGCUCGGCCCCCUCCUUGGGUAUCCUUGAUGGCUGCCUGGGGCUCAGCUCAACCUGGACGGCACAUGGCAGCCAGCAGCACGAGAAGGCAGUGGUGUGGCGACCCACUUCUUCGGCAGUGAGUGUGUUUCAGAAGCCAUGGAAACCACAGGCGAGCUGAGACGGGACUGUCCCGUCAUCCGUCCCCAAAGGCAGCCUAGGCAGCACCUGGUGCUCGGUCCUCUCAUCCUGAGGGCACAACGGCAGGCACCAGCGCUGCUGUUCACUGCCCUUCACCAGGCGUGUGCAGAGCAGCGGCCACACCAGCUGGGCCCUGGGGCCCGGCCGCUUCAGGAGCCUUGGAGGUUACGCUUGCCAGCAAGUGCACAUGUGUGCACACAUGUACACAUUGCACUCACGGGUACACCAGACACACACGUGUCCAUGUGUCACACACACAUGUGAGCAUAUCUGUGCACACAGGCACAUGCCACACGCACACAUCUGGGCACACACACACACACACACAGAGCACAGUCGUAGCUGGCCUCUAGGGCUGGGGCAGCUGGCCAGAGUGGACGGAGCAGAGGGAGUGUGCUGGGAACCUCUGUGGAAGGAGGCCUGGGCCCUGUAGAGGAUCUGACUUCCCAGGUCCCAAGCCGGGGCAGAGGAGGCUGGAGAGCGGGGGCUUCGGGAGAGGCUAGGGACCGGCUGUUGGUUCUCUGUGGACUCUUCCCAGGAGCGCGUCUGAGGGUGAGGCCCUGCUUUCUCCCUCGCAGGCCUGGAAGAUUUGAGGUGUGAUGCACGACCGUCCGCAUAGCCUGAAAUAGCCACCAGGGGGAGCCAUUGGCAAACAUUAAGUUGUGGCAGACCCUGCUCUCCCUAGCCGGGCCCCGAGAGCCAAGACAGGAGGUGCCUGCCCCGGGCUCCCGGUCCCACAGGCUUCCCUGACCAAAGGGUCUGUGGGCUGGGUCCUUCCUGCUCUCUGGGCCUCAUUUCCUCUGACUGUGGAUGUCGGACAGGGGUCCUGCGCCCCGGGCUGUCACAGCUACACUCUCCCGAGUGCAGCUCCUGCCCAGCUGUCUGCCCUGCGAGCGGAGGUUGCCUGCCACGCACGGGAGCAAGGUUCUGGCCAGCAAGCAGGGACGUGCCGAGCGGUCUGGGUGUCCUCGUGUGCCUGAUGGUGGCCCCUCCCUCCCCGCACAGGGCCAUGAUGUGAGGGCAGUGAGGACUCUGCCCGCCCUGAGCCAGGAUGGCUGUCACGGCCCAAGGCAGAGCCUCCUGGCUCGUGCUCUGCAUACAACUUUGGUUUUGUUCUUCAAGAUGAACACGUUAGACUGGAAUCAGUAUUAAAAGAUGUUUUUAACCCCCAAAAAUGUGUUAUGUAUGAUGUGCCGUUCUCACAUUCA
rnacentral:lncRNA from 1 species